rnacentral:lncRNA from 1 species
GCCUGAAGUGCCACCCACAAAAGUCCCAGAGGUGCCAAAGGUAGCUGUCCCAGAAAAGAAGGUGCCUGAAGCUAUUCCUCCCAAACCGGAAAGUCCUCCCCCUGAAGUGUUCGAGGAGCCUGAGGAAGUUGCCCUAGAAGAGCCUCCUGCUGAAGUUGUGGAAGAGCCAGAGCCAGCGGCGCCUCCACAAGUGACCGUACCACCUAAGAAACCUGUCCCAGAAAAGAAAGCACCUGCUGUCGUUGCCAAAAAACCUGAACUACCACCAGUGAAAGUGCCCGAGGUGCCCAAGGAGGUUGUUCCUGAAAAGAAGGUGCCUCUGGUGGUUCCCAAAAAGCCAGAAGCCCCACCUGCUAAAGUGCCUGAAGUUCCAAAAGAAGUUGUUCCAGAAAAGAAAGUAGCUGUUCCCAAAAAGCCAGAAGUCCCACCAGCAAAAGUGCCAGAAGUGCCAAAGAAACCUGUCUUGGAAGAGAAACCAGCUGUUCCUGUUCCAGAAAGAGCGGAGUCUCCUCCCCCAGAAGUAUAUGAAGAACCUGAGGAAAUUGCUCCUGAAGAGGAAAUUGCUCCUGAAGAGGAAAAGCCAGUUCCUGUUGCAGAAGAGGAGGAACCAGAGGUUCCACCUCCAGCAGUGCCUGAAGAGCCCAAGAAGAUCAUCCCAGAGAAGAAAGUUCCUGUCAUCAAAAAACCAGAAGCACCGCCUCCUAAAGAACCUGAGAUGCCAAAGAAAGUUGUUCCAGUGAAGAAGGUCCCAACUGUUAAGAAGCCAGAAACACCAGCAGCUAAAGUGCCUGAGGUGCCCAAGAAACUUGUUCCAGUAAAGAAAGAACCUGUGCCUGUUACCAAAAAACCAGAAGUUCUUCCAGAAAAAGUGCCCAAAGUGCCUGAGAAAAUCAUCCCAGAAAAGGAAGUGUCUGUGCCUAUCCCUGCAGAGCCAGAAGUUCCACCUGCUGAAGUUGAAGAGACUCCUGAGGAAAUAAUAUAUGAAGAAAAAGCAUCUAUAACCAUUGGUAGAAAAGAGACUCCCCCUGUUGAAGAACGUGAAAUUGAAAAGUAUAUUAAACCUGAAGAGCCCGAACCUGAACCACAGCCUGAAGAAAUACCAGUAAAAGAACCUGAACCUGAAAAGGUUAUUGAGAAGCCAAAACUCAAACCAAGACCCCCACCUCCUCCACCUGCUCCACCUAAGGAAGAUGUGAAGGAGAAAAUAUUCCAACUUAAAGCUAUUCCAAAGAAGAAAGUUCCUGAAAAACCUCAGGUUCCAGAAAAAGUGGAGCUUACACCUCUGAAAGUGCCUGGAGGUGAAAAGAAAGUUCGCAAAUUACUUCCGGAACGUAAACCUGAACCAAAGGAAGAAGUUGUUCUGAAAAGCGUUCUAAGAAAAAGACCUGAAGAAGAAGAACCUAAAGUAGAACC